GGGGGUCCAACCCCAGGGACACUGCCUCCGAGCGGGGCUCCCCAGAGAGUCGGGAUGGGCCGUCCUGCAAACCACAAGCUGCAACGCUGCCAUCGGCCCCCGAGCCCCAUCACCGCACGGAUCGGAUCGGGGAGCUAGAGCCCAGGGGAGGCAAGGCGGCUGCCCCCCAACCCGGAAAGGCAGCAGCACUAGGUGCUUCUUCCCGUCGCUGUGUUUUCUCGUGGGGAGAAGCUCCAAAGGCCAGGUUCCCGAGCCUCACGGGCGCCGCUGGGGCUCUCGGCCUCGCCAGCUCUGGGGGCCCAAGCCCCCGGCCAACACGGAGCCGGCCUCGGUGGAAACGGGUGUCAACGUCUGGGUUCCGAGCAAACCCCAGGUGGGGCCUCCUUGCUAGGAAGUCUCGCGUUGCAUCAGCGGUGGCAGUUCUGGCGUUUGGUUUCCCGGGCUGGGAUCUGGAGCGACGCAGGGGAGCGGAACGGCCCCAGUCAGCCGCACCCUCUACAGCGCGGCCCUCGAGCUGUGGUGCUCACCAGAACCCGCGACGGCGCUCUGCAAAGUGGACCGGAAGCCCCAGGACACCGACGCGCCCGUGUGCACCCGUCCGCACUUGAGAGGCACCACGCUGAACGCCGCGGCUCCGGCUGGUCUCUCUGCCCCAAUUCCCCUUGGACCCAGAACCAACCACCUCACAGAGGCUUCCCAUUUCCUGUGGGCCGGCGUCCGAACUCCUGAAUCAUACCUUACAGCGCCCCCAACCCCCAGGCCCAGUUUAUCUCAGACUUCCCCUCCCCUGACUACCCUGCACACGCGGCCCGGCCACGCGGACAGGCUCUCCUCUCCCUGCACGAACCCCACACGCCGCUGCCCCUACACGCGCUAGCUGCCUUUACCGCGACUUCCCCUUUCACAACAAUGAUUCCCAGCCACUCGGACACCCCGGCCUGGAUCAUUCUUUCAGCGGCGGCCGUCCUGUGCAGGCAGGGAGCUUAGCUGCUCGCUGCCCUGUAUUUACCAGAUGUACUAUUUACCAUGACAGUCAAAUAUGUCCCCCAACAUCGCCCCAUGUCCCGUGGGGAACAUCACCCAGUUGAGAGUCAGAUCUGUUUAGAUGCGAGGCCAGGUUCACGGGCUAAUUGAACAACUCUGCACUUGCCCGACCCUGGGAGGCGGCAUCGCCUUGGACCUCACAGCCUACGUGUCUUACCUGCCUCGUCUUAGGGCCCAGCCUUACUGCACAAAGCUGUCCCUCGCUUCUGUUCUGGAGGGUGUCGAGAGCUCUAUGCCCAUAGAGAGUUUAUUCUGACUCGUCAAAUAUCUGUUUGCUAGAUCUGAAGCCCUGGGAGGGCUCUGCUUCUGCUGGGGCUCCUGAGGCCUGACUCCUGUGACCAAAGAAGACUGCCGAGGUGACCGCGGGCCUCUCCAGGCUGGGCCGUUACAGGUACUGAAGCUUCUGCCUCGUCGCUGGGAUCAGGCUGUGAGGACGCUCAAGCAGCCCCAGAAAUGGGCCCCCAAGUUUUAGCUGGGCCCGUGGACAUCCAGAGGAAAGAAACACAACUUCCGGCCUCCUUUGACUAACCUCUGGCCGCUGAAAUGCACGUGCAGAUGCCAAGAGGCGGCUCCCACCAUCCCACCUUAAGAGGCCACAGGUGAGCACCCUGUCCCCUCACCGUCCUCUCUGUUCCCUCAGGGCCAAGCAGACACCCGUCCGUGACGUGGCCCCCACACAUCGCUGCGAGCACAGCUCAAACCUCUAACGGGUGCUGCAGAAUGUUUCUGUAAGGGCUGGCUAUUCCAGACAACAAAGCCCUCGUGUUGGGCAAAGGCAGACGACAUCACAGCCGUUCACCCUGCACAGAGCAAGGGCCGCGGCAACGAUCUUGAUGAACAUUUAUCGAAAGCUUGCUCGGUUCCAGGCACGGUUCUGUGCACGUCACGCGGAUCCAUGUACAAUCCCGACACAAUUCACACAUCGAUCUUCAACGCCCUGUGAUGCUGUGUUCUUGGCUACAUGUCGCAGACCAGGAAAGAAAAGGAACAGAGAGGUGCGGGCCCCGGCCCAGGUGAAGGACGAUGGCUAGCGGCCAGAAUGAGGCCCCUGCCACCACUGAGCUCCCCUCCAAAGGGGGCUCUCACUGGGUCCUAAGCCAGAGUUUAGCCCUAUGUGGGCACGGGUGACCUGUGACCCAUUGUGACCACCAAGCACUUGAAUAAUAGGUUUGGUUUUGGUUUGGGUGGUGCCGAUUGGUUUGUUUUGGGGGGAAAGAGGACAGGAGGGGCCUUCUGCCCAGGCGCCUGGAGAGAAAGUGACUGGAAGGCUCUAACUCUGUGACAGGAGCUCAAGCCAGAGCUGACGGGCCCAUUUCCCGGGAGAGAGGCAGGCGAGGAGCUUGGGAGGUGGGCGUUCUCCCCACUUCAGCGGGAACCCACAGAGCAUCAUCCAUCCGGUGACUCCUCCGGGGGAUCCGGGGCCACCCUGGCAGCCCAGGGUCUGCAGCCCGUGCUCUGCUGGUCGACGUGGCCGGACCCAGGGUCGUGAAGGGCUCCAGAGGGGACAGGCUGCCCCGUAUGUCUGGACAGGCCACACACACAAGCGGGGCGGGGCAUCUGUCCUGCCGAUUCCACGGAAGCCCUGUGCCGGUGUCUGUGCUGGGCUCUCUCCCAGGCACUCUUGGAAAGGUGUUCUCAGAAGGCGAAUGUCCCAAAUUAAGACGGCAGCGGGCGGAGCCUGUGACAUAUAAAUCACUGCCAUCCAUGAGACCCCAGGGGAGCUUGGGGUCUCUACUGUCAUGGGUCAAGUAGAUUUCGCUGCCCGUAUUCCUUAUGGGGAGGGGGCACCUUAAAACCAAACAUAUAUAGCAAACUCGUUGACUAAAAAUGCACCAAACAAUGUCCCCAAAUUCUGCUUUUGAACGCAAGCAGAUUGUUGGAGUUUUAUGCCUCCGAUUAUGUUAAGAAAUGUACAGUUUCUAAAUAACCAUUUUUUACAGGCAUCUUACUAUCGUCUACAAGUCAGAAUAAUGAUUUGUUGAAUGAGCUAUUCCUGCGCUCAGACGAAGAAGACAGCCCGUUGAGCUGGACGUAGAUGACGGUCUCGGCCGUGUGCUGGGAAAGCGCGUCUCCGGGAGAAAGCCAUUACAAGCGCCCGUCUGUAGCGUUUGCGGAUUUCUGUGCCGUAAAUACUUCUAUUGCC